GAUGAACGCUGGCGGCGUGCCUAAUACAUGCAAGUCGAACGAAACUUCUUUAUCACCGAGUGCUUGCACUCACCGAUAAAGAGUUGAGUGGCGAACGGGUGAGUAACACGUGGGCAACCUGCCCAAAAGAGGGGGAUAACACUUGGAAACAGGUGCUAAUACCGCAUAACCAUAGUUACCGCAUGGUAACUAUGUAAAAGGUGGCUAUACUACCGCUUUUGGAUGGGCCCGCGGCGCAUUAGCUAGUUGGUAGGGUAAAGGCUUACCAAGGCAAUGAUGCGUAGCCGAAUUGAGAGGUUGAUCGGCCACAUUGGGACUGAGACACGGCCCAAACUCCUACGGGAGGCAGCAGUAGGGAAUCUUCCACAAUGCGCGAAAGCCUGAUGGAGCAACGCCGCGUGGGUGAAGAAGGUCUUCGGAUCGUAAAACCCUGUUGUUAGAGAAGAAAGUGCGUGAGAGUAACUGUUCACGUUUCGACGGUAUCUAACCAGAAAGCCACGGCUAACUACGUG
rnacentral:rRNA from 1 species